rnacentral:rRNA from 1 species
UAACCGACACAGGUGGACUGGUUGAGCAUACCCAGGCGUUUGAGAGAACCACGUUGAAGGAACUAGGCAAAUUGCCCGCGUAACUUCGGGAGAAGCGGGACCCUCGGUCGGGCAACCGGUCGGGGGUGGCACAGACCAGGGGGUGGCGACUGUUUACUAAAAACACAGGGCUCUGCGAACUCGCGAGAGGACGUAUAGGGUCUGACGCCUGCCCGGUGCCGGAAGGUCAAGGGGAGUGGUGCAAGCUACGAACCGAAGCCCCGGUAAACGGCGGCCGUAACAAUAACGGUCCUAAGGUAGCGAAAUUCCUUGUCGGGUAAGUUCCGACCUGCACGAAUGGCGUAACGACUUCCCCACUGUCUCCAACGUGGACUCAGCGAAAUUGAAUUCCCCGUGAAGAUGCGGGGUACCCGCGGUCAGACGGAAAGACCCCGUGCACCUUUACUACAGCUUUGCACUGGUACUAGGCGGGCCAUGUGUAGGAUAGGUGGGAGCCUUUGAAGCUCGGGCGCCAGCUCGGGUGGAGGCAACCUUGAAAUACCACCCUUGGGCCGACUGGUAUCUAACCGCGCACCGUCAACCGGUGUCGGGACCCUGCAUGGCGGGUAGUUUGACUGGGGCGGUCGCCUCCCAAAGAGUAACGGAGGCGCGCGAUGGUGGGCUCAGGCUGGUCGGAAACCAGCCGUCGCGUGCAAGCGCAUAAGCCCGCCUGACUGCAAGACCGACAGGUCGCGCAGAGACGAAAGUCGGCGCUAGUGAUCCGGUGGUCCCGCGUGGAAGGGCCAUCGCUCAACGGAUAAAAGGUACGCCGGGGAUAACAGGCUGAUGACCCCCAAGAGUCCCCAUCGACGGGGUCGUUUGGCACCUCGAUGUCGGCUCAUCACAUCCUGGGGCUGAAGCAGGUCCCAAGGGUUCGGCUGUUCGCCGAUUAAAGUGGUACGUGAGCUGGGUUUAGAACGUCGUGAGACAGUUCGGUCCCUAUCUGCCGUGGGUGUACGAGACUUGCGCGGAGCUGUCUUUAGUACGAGAGGACCGAGGUGGACGGACCUCUGGUGGACCGGUUGUCACGCCAGUGGCACAGCCGGGUAGCUAAGUCCGGACGGGAUAACCGCUGAAAGCAUCUAAGCGGGAAACCCACCGCAAAACCAGGUCUCGCCGAGAGCCGUGGAAGACCACCACGUCGAUAGGCCGGAGGUGUAAGCGUGGCAACACGUUCAGCCAACCGGUCCUAAUAGC